rnacentral:misc_RNA from 1 species
GUAAUAUUUCAUUUAAAAAAAAAAGUUUAAGCAUUUUUAUAAUUGGGCCUAUUUAAUUAGGCUACAUAUGAAAGCCCAAAUAUAAAAAGAAAUGGGCAUUGUCUAUAGUCCAAUUAAUUACAACUUUAGGCCAAUCUAACUAUACUUGACACAUCAAUUACUAUAUCAAACAUUGAUGAUUCAAUCGCCACCUCUAUAAUUGUUGAACUUCAAUUUAUUACAAUUUCGAAAACCUUUUGAGGGCAUCAGCAGCAUUUUCAGCAUGUUUUGGAAUAGGCAAAUUGCAAAGAAGAGUUACCCUUGCAGUGGACACAACAACUUUUCUCUCUUUUAAAUCCUUCCACAAUUGGACAUCCCAUACCUGAAUGGAUUUGCCGACGGUGACCGGAGCGGCUUCGGCGUGAACGAGGUCGCCGAGGGCGGCGCUCUUCAAGUGAUUGAUACUGAGAUGAAUUCCGGCGACUCUCUGGUAGCCGGACGCCGUAUGAGCGCCCAUACUCGCCAGAGACUCUGCGAUCAACGCCGAUACUCCGCCGUGCAGCACUUUGAACGGCUGGCAGCAGAUCGGGGAAACGAGGAGAUGGCCGGAAACUUUGUUAGAAGAGACGUGGUCGACCUCGAAUCCAAAGGCCUGAAGCGUAACGUCGAGAACUGGCGGCUUCGACGGCGGAAAAGGAUCUGUAGACGACAUUCCUUGAAC